rnacentral:siRNA from 1 species
UUAAAAGCCAAAUCAAUAUCAC